rnacentral:lncRNA from 1 species
UUAUUAAGCAAAAUACAUAAUUUAGUUAUGGCCGACAGUAAAAUGGCCGCCGUGGCUGCUACAUGGCUCCAUGUUUGAAACUGUUCCGGGCCUCAAACUGUACAAAUGCUUCAUGUUUUUAUGAAAAAGUGAAAUGAUUCACCUCAGAUGUGUCACAUGUCAUCUGGACUACAGGUUCAUGUGAGUUCAGGACAUGUAAACACACUUUAAUGUGUAAAAUAUGUGGAGUUAUAUGACGUUAAUACUUCUGCUGCUGCACUGUUUAAAGUUGAUAUUAAAACGUAAAGUCGUGUGUGUUUAAGAGGCUUCAUGUAAGAGGGAGUUAAACAACAUUUAACAGGGAGAUGAUGAUAAAACUUGUACAUGUGGGUUCAUUACUAACAUUAUAUUUCAGAGCGGUCCGGUCACGGUGGACCUCUCCCCGCCUCGGGCUGCUAUAAUUAGCCGUCUCCUGCUCCUCCACGGUCGGUGUACGUUGAGCAGCAGCAGCGGGGGGGUCGGAGCCGCCGCAGCACACACACACACACACACACACACACUUCCGUGUUGUGUGUCUGUCACCGUAAAGCAGGAAGCACUGUAGUAAUGUGUAGGAGGUAAUCUGCCUGCUGCUGUUUACCUACAGGUGAAGUGAAGCCAGCGGGAGAAGCUACAUGGAGGCUAACUGACAAACACAGGACCAAUCGGUGCUCAGCAUACGGAGGAACUGCGGUACAUUAGCACCAGGAUGCCAGCCGGAAGCAGAGGAUCCAGACAGUCAGGGAGGUCCAGUUCAGGGGGGUCCGGUUCAGGGAGGUCCAGUUCAGGGAGGUCCAGCUCAGAGGCUCACGGAGAUCCAGACAACAGGAUAGUUUUCCAUCAGAUCCAGGAUGAGACGACAGGUGUGUGUUUUAUACGCUGAGGUAUAAACAGAUAUACAUGACAGUGAGAAACACACAAACAUCCCCGGGUCAUU